AACAUACCCUAAUACGGGGGAUUCGUGGGAAUGCGGAUGUGUAUUUUUGCCCCUCUCAAAAACACACAAAAACUGACUGCAGAAAAGCCAAGAAUUGUCGAAAAAGAAGUGCUUUAAAAAAUAAUUCGUGGGAAUGCUAACCACGGAUAUGAACUUGUCUAAUUAUGUGCAAAAGACUGUGUAAAAGCAUGGUUGAAAGUUUUGAAGAGUCAAGUCUUGUGCUCGAGUCAAGGUCAGCUGAAAUGUCAAAGUAAGCCACAAGACGAAGAAAGAAAAAACAAGCUAAUUUUAUGGACACCUUCUCCGACAAGUGCUCCUAUGUGUUUGUCUUUGCACUGGCAGACGUAGGUUAAUCUCAGCCAGAGAUUCUGAAAUCAAGCUGAGACAAGCUGCUGGCUAAGAGGCAUGACCCAGGGCAGGAUGUACAUAUAAGGCAUUGGUAUUUAAUGUAGGUCACCAAAAAGUAAACACAUAUAAAGUAACAAAAAGUAAGAUAAUAUUUUAAUGGAAAAAUUGUUCUAAAAAAAUGAACCAGAGUUAUAAAAGCAAAAAACCUAGUUUUUUUUCCAAGUUAGCCUGACAGGUUCUUGUAUAAUGUGUGGUUAGUGACAUUUAGACUAUUAUAAAUAGUCUCUUGCUAUUACAAUGACUCAUGGUAAAGUAAUUGAGGUAGUAAGUUAAUCAUACAAAAACAAAAACAGGUCUCCUAUAUGAUCCCUUAAGAUCAUAUCUAAAACUAUUUAGAAUCAAUUUUCCUAUUUCAACCUAUUUCAAAUAAAGGCUAAAUAGAUGCUUUAUAAAAAGGAUUCUAAUUUGAUAAUUUUAGGUUAACAGGUUUAUUCUAACUUCUUAUAUGUGGUUUUUAACUGUAUAAUAAAAUGAUGUAAAAUAAUAUUUAAAAAUAUGUUGGAGUGCUUUUAAUCCACCCUUAGCAAAGUUACAUUCUAAAGCACAAUAGAGAAGGUUAAUAAAGAUAUUUUUCCAAUAUUCGAAUUGCUUACUUUAAAACUAACACAAGAAUAAGAUAAUGAUAAAGCCCUUAUAUCUGUGAAAGUUAAGUAAUUUAAAGAAGUAAAAGGAAUUGGGACAGUACAGGCAGGGAAUGACCCGUGCGAGAUGGAUUCCUAGGUUUUUAGGAAUUCCUACAAUCUUUUACAAAACUAAUGGGACACUUUCCCAAAUGAUCACCUUGCUACUGCUUGUGUUUUGAGCUGAAAAAUCGCCUCUAACUAAAUACUCCGAGGGAUGGCUGCUUUUGCAAAUGGAGACAAUCGACACGAUAUAUGGACAGUCUCUUUGACAAUAUCAAAUAAAUAUUAUAGUUUACAAAAUUAUAGUCUGCAAAUAUCCUAGCGCACCUUCAUUUAAUUCAAAUUAAUUGAAUAAAAUAUUCCAAAUAGCGCAUAGAUAUACCAAAAGUAUUAUCUGGGGACGUCAACAUCUUUACUUCAAGCUCGAAUAAUUGAUAGAUUGAAAAACUUUCAUUAGGGUAUGCGAAUAAAGAGAAUACAUUUUAAGAAAUUGAUAAUAAGCGUGACAAAUUCCAAUCAUUCCACUUCUGAGACAAUCUUUUACAAAAUUAAUGGGACACUUUCCCUCCCCCUUCCUCAAUGUUGGAGGGCAAAUGAUCACCUUGCUACUGCUUGUGUUUUGAGCUGAAAAAUCGCCUCUAACCAAUAUUAAUCGGGGGGAGAGGGUUGGCGGUUGUUCGUAUGGGAAGUGUCCCACUUACUUUUGUUGAGGAUUGUCUGAGCAAGUGAUUGACAGGUCCUGGAACAGGAAACACUAUCGUUGAUAACGCAACGACGAUACAACUAUGCGAACGUCAAAAUCAAACACAUACAAUUAUCGUGCCAGGAUCGCGCGUAAAACUGGACAGAGGCUUCAAAGACGACUAUUUUUCGUUGUAAACAAUCUCAUCUGUUUCUUCAUAUAAGAAAUACCGCCUAUGAAGAAUUUAUUACGUGAGAGAUUUUCACUACAAAUUUAGUCACGCAUGCUUGUCUCGGGGAGAAGGUCAAUUCAAUAAAUUCAUCUGUUUUACAAUAGUUUUGCUAAAUAUCUGACACUUUGACACACAGUUAUGCUUGAAGAGUUCAAGCAAAGUGUAUGCAAUGCUUUUUCUGUGGAGCAUUCGCUAAAAUCGACGGCUACAGACUACGUCUCCUGUUCUUGCCUAUGUGGCUCAACGAUUAACACAACGGUUAACCAUUUUAAAAUUGUUUUAAAAAUGGCUUACGAAAGAAUUUGGAACUCGAAAAUAAUACAGUAUUAACUUGAGAUUCAAGCUCAAUAAUUGACACUAGUUUUGUUUGAAUGGGGGUUUGCAUUUUGGAGAGAGAGCUCAUGGUAGACGGUUGACCGUCGUUUUACUAAGAUAAAAAGGAGGUUCAUUUAUAUAUUUUUCAGAAUUAGUACUACAUUGAAAAGAAAGAUACGAAUGGUGAUAAUUGUUUUAAAAUCUUAGAUCUGAUUUAGACAUAAUAUAUAUUGUUUCUAAUAGAAAUGCUUCUUGAGAUUAUAAGAAAAGAAGUCCCGCUUUGCAGAUAGGGACCGUAAAACGAAAAUGUACCGGGCGUCCUUUGCUUUAGUGGCCGAGAGGGACUUUGGCCCAAGGCGCAAAACCAUAACGGUCUGUACCGUUGCAGAAGUGUCCUUGUGGUGAAAGUGUCUAACCAAUCAGAUAGAACUACAUGUGUCCAAUCAUAGACCUUGUUAGAAUGCCACACGUGUGACACUGGGAUCGAGUGGGUAUGGCAGAACGGUCGUUUGUUGAUAAUAUAACUGAUUUCUGAGGAAUUGAUAAAGCAGAGAAACACUCAAAAAGCAGAGAAACACCCAAGAGAAAAGGAUUUAGCAAAAGCCAUGUUAUGUUCUCUUACUGGAGUCCGUCCUAAGACGGAGACAAGCCAUUAAGAGGCGAAUCCCAUCUCAAGCAAGCUGCAAGUUUUAAAGGCAUGAUGCUAGGGCAAGAUGUAUUCAUUAAUACAGCUAAGAUAGAUAAUAGUUCCAAAUGAAAACUUGUUAUAAAAAAAUGAACCAGGCAAAUAAAAUAAACUAAAAGAAGUCAGAAAUUUUGAAAACAAGUUAGAGUGGUUUAUUUCAUUCACCCUUUGACAAAGUGGCUGGUACUAAGCACUGACCAACAUUGGACCUUAUUGCAAAUGGACUGAAUGGGUUUUCUAGUAAAAAAAUAUAGUUUCAAUUUGAACUAAUUAACUGCACAGGGUUUUGUGAGCAUUCUUCUUUUCAAAUAGCUGAUAUGAAUACAGCUCAGUAGGAAUCUGAGAUGAUAUUUGCAAAAAUCAACAGCAAUGUACCAUUUGACCUUUCAUGCAAUUAUUUCAAAGAUAAUUUAGCACUGUACAUGUAAGUGAUGUAAAAUGAAAAUAUAGCUACCUUUUUUUAACAAACUGCAUCUUUUUGUUAUGCCACAUCAAGCCCUAUUUUAUGUUUUAAAACAAAAAUACCAGGUGUACAUACCCUUGAAACUAUGAUGCUUCAAUAUAGGGGUCUAGUGGGUCCAUGGACCUCCUUAUCGAGGGUCAGUGUUUUGUACGAUCCACCCAAGACAAGUGUCAAUUCAAAAUGUAUUAGCCAAAAAAAACAUUAAAGAAGGUUGAUAAAACCGUUUAUCCAAUAUUUGUAAUUUCUACCAAAAUACUUUUAUUACCCUUCAACUGAGAGAAAAUUAUAAAAAUCAAGAAAAUCUAGUAGUAGUGCAAUGCGAAAGGAAGAAAGGGAAUUUGGACAGUGUAGGCAAGCACAUUUACUGGCAAAAACGAUAUGCUAAUGUAUAGAAACGCGUUGUGUGCUGAUAUGGUUUUAAAUGUUAAAGAGAAUAAAAAAGCACCCAUUUUACUGUAAAAAAAAA